UGUGCUUUGGAAAUAACUAAUAGUGAACAUUGUAAAACAGCAGGGAAGGAGUGAGGACAGAUGGGUUUGUUUUUCCUUAGGGAAUCUAAAAUAAACUUGAUUUGUCUUCUUUAAAUCCUUACACUCAGUAGACGAAAAAUAGGAAGUAAUGUUUACUCAAGUAAUAGAAAUAUCUUUAAAAACAGUUUACAUCAGCUAAGGAAAUUUGGCAGGUCAGGAAUUUAUUUAUGUAUGUAUGUAUGCAUCUGGGUUUAUGGGAGGGUUGAUGCUUCACCAUUCUCUCUCUGAUAGUAACAUAAUCUGUUUUAUUUUCAUGGAUGAAUCCAAAAUCUGUGUUUGGCAUUCUGUGUGUUAUGCAAAGAAUGUUUCUUUCUCAGUUUAGGUCAGAGAUUUUCAAAGGCACACAAAACAUCUAGGCAUUUAAUUUUCACUCACGCUAAUAGAGUUUGACCAGCCACCUUUUUCUUGCUUUUUGACAUCUUUCAUUUAACUGUUUUUGUUUCAUUUCACUGUUUUUGUACAUGUCUAAUGCAAAGACGUAGGCAAAACAGGCACCUGUAUGUCAGCUCUACUUUUACUCUUGGUGGACUAUUGCAUUACCCGUUAAUUAUUGCUGUGUUUUUUUUUUUUUUUUUUUUUUUUUUGGUUAUUUGUCACAUUUCUGUAUGCCCAGCAGGCAGGGUGAGUAGUAGCUCAGACUGGACUGCUGGAAGUCCAAAAUCCUGGAACAAAUAGCUCCUAAGCACUGGCUGCCAGGCUGACAUGCUCCAGUCACAUCAGAGGCACUAGGUCUGCAGAGUCACCUGUUGAUCCUGACCUGUGAGUUAAAUGCGACAUGUGCCAUGCAUGACAGAAUUGCUGACUGCAGGUGAUCGAGUGUGCAGAAUCCCCAAUAUAUAGCUAUGGGUUUAAAUUUAUGGUUGAGCAUGCAAAAACUAUCAUCAGAAUCUUCCUUGCUCUCUGUGAAACAUUUGUUUUACACCUGAGUAUUAAUAUGUAAAAUUACCAUAAAAGUCUCUUCUCUGGCUAAGUCUUUCUGUCUGCCCUUUUCAUAAAGUGUGCUACCUGCAGAGCUACCAAGUUGCUCACAGUCCUUUUUUUUCUAUUUUAGUUCAAAAAAUAAUUUUGGUAGCAGUGAUGCCCAGAUUUUGCUUAGCCAUCACAUCUCCCGGUAGUCUGUUACGGUGAUCAGCAUUAUGCCUGGCUUGAGGGAGCAUUCGUUUGGAAAUGGACCUACUUCAGCUGUGAAGCAUGUCUCAGGCAGGAUGCAAGUGCCUAGCCCCAGGGCCGCAGCAGAUGUCUCAAUUUUCUUUGCAGACUCUUCAUCUGAAAUGGGUUCAUUUUUCCAGUGCCCUAUUUAAACUGGUUAAAAACGAGCGGUAAAACAGUAAAUUGCUUGAAACUCCAUCAGAGAGGCCACAAGAAGCCAAAGGAGCUGCACGGCCGCGUCUCGCUCCCAAAUGACCGAGCUUGUUGACUGCAGACAAAGUGCGAGGUGUGCUGCUGAGCUGGUUGGUUUCUGGCAGCGCCUGAAAGGCUGAAUGCCACCUGACAGCUCACAAAGUAUUUGAGAGGAAAUUCCUAUUCCUGCGUACUGAAACUAGCUGACCAUCUGUUAGCCUUUCUGCCAGGCUGAUACGGUAGCAAUGUGACUUGCACCGAUUUUCUGUAUGAGCGCUUUGCAGGACUCUUUCCCUGGGGCUGGAACGCCUUUCAUUCCUGCUUUCUUUCUGGUAUAAUCACACAAAAUAUAUAUAUAUAUAUAUCCCAGAAAUGCCAGCUCAUGUUUCGGCUCAGUUCAUGGAAACCUGCAAUAAGUUCCUGGUGUUUGCCGUAUGAGCAUUUUGAACUCAUCUUGCCCAUAAAUUAAUUUGAACAUUCAUUAAAAAUAAAGCAGCACUGCUUUAUUUAAAGUCUGAGACCCUUUGUUGAUUUCAUUAACACCUACAAAUUUAUUUCAAACAGUGGUGCUGCACUCAGGUCACACGGAAGGGAACGCUUCCCCCAAAACCCAGCUGGCUGGUGGUCACCUCUCAAUCCCACCACAUCGCAUGGCACCAGCCUGCUCCAUUUACAUGGAUGAUGGGAGCCUGGAGAACAUCAAACUGGGACAGUAGUGCCAGGUGUUAUUUAUUUCUGUGUUGGCAAAACCCAGCUGGGUACCCCAAUAUCCGUUGACCACCAAGGUAGGGGACAUGCUGUGUUGUUUCUAGGUGGCCAAAGCCCACCACCUAAUUUUUACAAUUAAUGCCAUAUAGCAGCUGUGAUGCACAAUCAGUCCUGCCUAUUAUAAUGAGAUUUUUGUAAACCUGACCUUAAAUUAAUGAUUUAAAAUAGUUUUGGUGCUCGAACAAAGAAGUAGGAAUGAGAAAGCCUCUCAAGCCUCAUUGACAGCUGUAGAUUUUAAUUAACAGAAAUAAACAAACACCAAAGCAGAAGCAAACAGCUCUCGUGUUAGCAGGAAUAGAUUAAAAACCUGAAAGAAAUGCGGUGGCAAAGUUUGCUGUGAGGCUGUGCUGAUAAACCGUGAGGUGUGAACCAAGUUGUCCACCCCAGUGUGUGCAGGGACACAGGGAAUGGGCUCUUCAAAUGAGAACACAGUUUGGGACGUGCUUUUGUUGACUCAUUGUGGGGUGCAGCUGAUUUCCUUUUCCUGAGGUGGGGCCUAGCUUUCAAAAGCUGGCAAAACAUUGUUUGUAAGAUGGAUAGAAACCCUCUCCAAAUGGUUGUUGGCCAUUUCCCGUUAUCGUGGCCAUCGCUGUGCAGAGGAAGGCACAGAGCAGCUCCUCUCUGCACCCAGUGUUUGCUGGAAACUGUCCCUCGGUGCCAGAACUGCUGUUACCCCCAUGAAAAAUGCAAUUCCCUUAAUUCAGGCUGGUCCCAGAAAGUUUGGAAGUUUGGCUGGAACAAUUACCAGCGCAUGCUUAUUAUUUUUCUAUGAACUUUUUAUAAGGUCACCCUCCUUCUUUGAGUUAGUAAAAUGUACAGUCUGCAACUGAAAUAAAAGGAUACAAAAAUAGCCCUCUCAUAUUCUAGUGCUGUAUUUCUGCUUCAAAUUAAGCACAACAUUAGGAUUUACAAUGCAAAGGGACAUGGUUGCCUAUUAAAAUAUAGCUAACAAACAAAGCAGUAAACUACAUUUGCUUACAAUAUUGUUUAAUAUACAAAGGUUCAAUUUUCUGUGUCCUUAGUCUAAAACCCAGUAAUAGGCUAAAUCUUAUUUGAACUGAACAUGUUGUCUCCAGUUUAUUUGUACAUUAAGGCUUACUGAUAAAUUGAUGUUUCUGUAACAGUUUUAAUGUAAGGAGUACUCCAUAAAUCAUUGUUUUAAUAGAAACAAAUACAAUAUCGAGGCUAACUUUUUAAUAGCAAAACAACAGAACCAAAUUACCAUGAUUUAUUAAUAAGCCCAAAUAAAGCAGGGUCUUCUAUACCAUCCAAUAAAUUGCCUAUUUUUUGUUUAGUUGGAUGUAGUAAAUAUUGUUUCAUCAUUAUUUUAUAAUGAGGUUUUGCAUUUCUGAAAUAACUUUCACCUUUGAUAUAUUAAUGAAACUAUCCAUCUUAAGGACUGACUCUUAUGCGGCAUGUUUUAUGUUGUGUUUAUUGCCCCCAAGUAUAGAAAAUUGCAUCACUUUCUGUAAAUUUCAUUUGUGCCAGAGGUAGCAAUGUGGCUGACCUGGAGCAGGCUGUGCUUGGCAUGUGAGGGAGCUCUCCCCUGCCCAUCACCUGGAGAGGUCCCUCUAUGUGCUCCCUCUGAGGUCAGGGUUGCUUCCCAGCCCAAGUAAGCCUGGAGGAAUAAAAAGGAGCAAGAUGACAUAAAUGUGUGGCUGCAUAGGGUCUCAUCCCUCUUCCUUAACUGGAGGUUGGAAGGCACCUCUGGAGGCCACCUGGUCCAACCCCUGCUAAAGCUGGGCCACCCAGAGCCACUUGCCCAGGACCAUCUCCAGGAGGCUUUCAAGUAUCUCAAAGGAGGGAAGGAGACUCAACAACCUCCCUGGGCAAUCUGUUCCAUUGUCACCAUGUUUCUUACACACACGUGAAUCUCACAUAUAUGAUACGCAUAAAUAGCUGAGUCCUAAUAAGAGACCACAUUCAGUC